rnacentral:rRNA from 1 species
GAUCAUAGUAAUCGUCUUUGACGCACCUGCUACCGUCCACCGGACGAUAAGGUGCUCUGGCAGAGGAUAAAUCGCCAAGUCCAGUGUUACCUCUCCGAGGCACACGUUAAAGAUCGUUCCGAAUUGUGAGUCUUGACCGUUGUAAAACACUACAACCGGUAGCAUUGGAUCCCUUGGCAUGUCAUUCGAUGAAGACCGUUGCAAAUUGCGAUAAAGUGAUGUGAUGCGCAAGUCCACCGCUUAUACGUGAAUCAUCGAGUUGUUGAACGCACUGCACCGCGCCCUAAACCGGCUGCGGCAUGCCCCUUUGAGCGUCAUUGUUGUUCCUUCGGGAGCCUUGCGUGCAUCUGCACCUUGGCCCGAGUUCAGAGUCCUCGGUCUUUGGAUCGUGUUCUCUUAGAUUCAGCACGCCGUUCGCUUUGGCGGGUUCUCUAAUGCUUGAGCGAGGAGACCUGCUUGUGAGCGUGGUGUUGGACCACGGCUUGAGCGUGCGUCACCAAGUCCCUCUCUCCGGAGCUGGGUACUACAAAUCAUGACCUCAUUGGGGUAGGACAACCCGCUAGACUUAAGCAUAUUAAUCAGCGGAGGAAAAGAAACUAACAAGGAUUCCCUCAGUAACUGCGAGUGAAGCGGGAUCGGCUCAAUGUGUGAAUCUGACUUGGGGUAGAUCCCUGGUUCGAGUUGUGCACUAUGGACGCUUUGUCUGCGUUGUGUAAUGGCGGUGGAAGUCCGUUGAAACACGGCACCCGAGAGGGUCAUAGUCCCGUACUACCUGCCAGCACUCGCGCCAAUGACAAGCGCUCUUCGAGUCGCGUAGUUUUGUAUUGCUGCGCCAAGUGGGAGGUAGAGACCUUCUAAGGCUAAAUAUGAUGACAUGACCGAUAGCACACAAGUACCGCGAGGGAAAGGUGAAAAGCAACCAUGAAAAAUGGGUUGAAACAGUAGUGAAAGUGCUGCCGGGAUAAGGGCUAUUGGGUGCUGGGGCUCUUUACGUGUGCUUUAGUGCUACGUCUGGAGACGGCUUGCGUGGGUUGAUUGGGGCGAUAGAUGCGCUGUGGGAAUUCGGCUGUCUCCGGACAGUGUUGUAAGCCCUGCGGUUGUGAUCCCCCUGCGAC